AGAGUUUGAUCCUGGCUCAGGAUGAACGCUAGCGGCAGGCUUAACACAUGCAAGUCGAGGGGCAGCGAGGGUAAUAGCAAUAUUACCUGUCGGCGACCGGCGCACGGGUGCGUAACGCGUAUGCAACCUACCAUCAACAGGGGGAUAACACUGAGAAAUUGGUACUAAUACCCCAUAAUAUCUCAUGCGGCAUCGCAUGGGGUUGAAAACUCCGGUGGUUGAUGAUGGGCAUGCGUUGUAUUAGCUGGUUGGUGAGGUAACGGCUCACCAAGGCGACGAUACAUAGGGGGACUGAGAGGUUAACCCCCCACAUUGGUACUGAGACACGGACCAAACUCCUACGGGAGGCAGCAGUGAGGAAUAUUGGUCAAUGGACGCAAGUCUGAACCAGCCAUGCCGCGUGCAGGAUGACGGCUCUAUGAGUUGUAAACUGCUUUUGUACGAGGGUAAACCCCGAUACGUGUAUUGGGUUGAAAGUAUCGUACGAAUAAGGAUCGGCUAACUCCGUGCCAGCAGCCGCGGUAAUACGGAGGAUCCGAGCGUUAUCCGGAUUUAUUGGGUUUAAAGGGUGCGUAGGCGGUUUGAUAAGUUAGAGGUGAAAUGUCGGGGCUCAACCCCGAAACUGCCUCUAAUACUGUUGGACUAGAGAAUAGUUGCGGUAGGCGGAAUGUAUGGUGUAGCGGUGAAAUGCUUAGAGAUCAUACAGAACACCGAUUGCGAAGGCAGCUUACCAAACUAUAUCUGACGUUGAGGCACGAAAGCGUGGGUAGCAAACAGGAUUAGAUACCCUGGUAGUCCACGCAGUAAACGAUGAUAACUCGUUGUCGGCGAUACACAGUCGGUGACUAAGCGAAAGCGAUAAGUUAUCCACCUGGGGAGUACGUUCGCAAGAAUGAAACUCAAAGGAAUUGACGGGGGCCCGCACAAGCGGAGGAACAUGUGGUUUAAUUCGAUGAUACGCGAGGAACCUUACCCGGGCUUGAAAGUUAGCGACGACGCUUGAAAGAGCGUUUCCCUUCGGGGCGCGAAACUAGGUGCUGCAUGGUUGUCGUCAGCUCGUGCCGUGAGGUGUCGGGUUAAGUCCCAUAACGAGCGCAACCCCUACUGUUAGUUGCCAUCAGGUGAUGCUGGGCACUCUAGCGGGACUGCCGGUGUAAGCCGAGAGGAAGGUGGGGAUGACGUCAAAUCAGCACGGCCCUUACGUCCGGGGCCACACACGUGUUACAAUGGUAGGUACAGAGGGCAGCUACCCUGCGAAGGGGUGCGAAUCUCGAAAGCCUAUCUCAGUUCGGAUUGGAGGCUGAAACCCGCCUCCAUGAAGUUGGAUUCGCUAGUAAUCGCGCAUCAGCCAUGGCGCGGUGAAUACGUUCCCGGGCCUUGUACACACCGCCCGUCAAGCCAUGGGAG
rnacentral:rRNA from 1 species